GGCGUUGGUAUAUAAUUAAAAAAAAAACACAUUGUUUAAAUUUUUUAUGGAAGUCCUGCUUUUCUACAGUGAACAAUUAACAUGAAUCGACAAAGAAAAAAACAUAAUUUAAUUUAUGUUUCUGUAGAAUAUGAAGGAACAUUGCCGUGGGUAUAUUUUCUUUUACGAUGACUCUAUCAGUUUACGCUGCUGACAUUUUUAUAUGUAUGUUGGAGUCAAAAGAAUUGCCAUAGAGUAGCAAUCUUUGUUAAUUAUCGAAGCAUUUAAAUUACACGUGUGAUAUUGAUAUAUCGACUGCGAAAAAACAUAAUGAUGACUAUGUAGGAUAUAAAUGAAAAAAGAAUAUCAUGCGGAUAUUAAAAUUAAAUAUCUUACUCUUUCUAUAUUUAUGGUAACUACGGCAACUUAUGUCGCUGUAAUACAUGCAUAUCUAAAUGAAUCAGCAGACGGCUUUUAUUCCAAUGUUAAGUCUAAAGAAAUUGCUAUAGAGAAGCAAUCUUUGUUAACUAUCGAAUAUGGCAUUUAAAUUAAACUUGUGGUAUUGAUAUAUCGGCCGCGAACAAAAACCAUAAUGAUGACUAUGUAGAAUACAAAAGGAAAAAGAAUAUCACGCGGAUAUGAAAAUUAAAUAUCUUAUUCUUUCUAUAUUUAUGGUAACUAUGGCAACUUUUGCCGCUGUAAUACAUGUAAUAGUAAAUGAACCAGCAGACGGCUUUUAUUCCUAUGUUAAGUCCAAAGGAGUUGCCAUAGAGAAGCUAUCGUCAGGUAAAUAUCGUAUAUCUUAUUCAAACUGGUACUGUGAUAUAGACACAUCGGUUGCAAAGAACUUUAUAAAAAAGAAUAUUUCAUGGAAAGACAUGUUUGAAACGAGAAUAGACGUGUUGAGCGAAAGAACAAAGUUCUCAUCCGAUGUGUUACGUAAGAAAAUGGGUAUUUUGCCAGAAGAUGGAACACCAAUUAUUUUAGUAGCAAGACAAGGCAAUGUGAGUAUACCCAAAAACACCGUUAUUAUUCGUUUAAACAAUCACGGUCCAACUGAUGCAAGAACGUCAAUGGUUAUGUGUUGGGGCUCUAUUAUUAGGGCACUUACUAAACUUGCACGCGAACAUCCAACAGACGAAUUAAUUAUAUUUGGUCGUCGGCCAUGGAAUACAUCGCACCCGCUAGUCAUACCGGAAAGCAGAUGGCAUCUCCAAAAUUUGAAAUAUUACAGAGGUCCGCUAUUUUUCCUAAGAGGUGAAUAUGUUCCCGGACACAUGGCAAAAUGCAACCCUGGAGAUGGUAUUGGAUUGCGAGCAUUAAAAACAAUUGCCGAUUUAAAAGGUGAUGUUUCAACUUUGGGAUUUAGAGCAGGUGUAGAUGCAUACAAUACAAGAAAAUAUAAUAGAUUUAUAUUACUCGCACACAAAUUGGUUUGGUCGUUUUUUGUUGUAAAAGAGUUAACAGAUACUUUGUAGAUACACUGAGAUAAAUGCUAGAUUUUAAUGAGAUAUUUUAUUUGUUUUUAUGCAAAAACUAGAGGCGGUUUUGAGAAAAGCGCAUGUCUCCCACGGCUGCCUAGUCAUCUGAAUAGAAAGUCUGUCUUUAUAUACUGUUUGCAGACUAUUGAUAUAUGUUGGGGUUGGAGUAACCGGUCUACAACUCUCUAUCGGUAAUUAUGUUUCGAGGGCCAUACUUUAGUAGUGCCUUGACCGAUUUUGGUUAGUGAUCGAACUUGGCAAACAUAUUUUGUUCAAGUUUGGUGAAGAUCGAAUAAGAAAUAUUCGACUUAGAGUGCGGACAAGCUUUAUGACAGACACACAGACAGGAGUAAAUCAACAUGUCGCCCACACCACUGUGUAGUGAGAGACAUAUUUAUCUUUAUGAUAGUCAAAGAGUUAUAGCAAAGUGUAUGAGCUAUAAAAAUGUUUAUUCAAUCGAACGUUAUUAAAAAUAAUUAUUGCAUUUCGUAAAAAUCGGUCAAAUUAAAAUGGAGUUGAAAUUGAGUUUAUAUCAUCUAUACCAUAACAUGCUCUGACAAUAAAAAAUCAACUACCAUAACUUAAAUGAAGUUCUACACAUUUGAUAAACCGGAAGUGAUGGCGUAACGUCAUUUAUCCGGAAAACGUAGAAUAAAGCCUGGAUUUGGCGUUCGGAAAUGAAAAUCGUUUUAUGAAAUUAAGGCAACCAAUGAAUAGGUUUAUUACAUAGACACUAUGUCUAUACUUCUUAAGUCUAAUAUGAUAUUAAAACAUAUGACACGUUAAAGAAUUCAAAAUCAUGUCUAAAAAUUAGUAUAAAAUGUUCAAUUUACUUAAACAUGGUAAAAUAGCUUAAAAACAAGCACACGUACACACAAAACUUUAAUUUCACCAUAUUAUAGGUCAUGGGUUUAUGUACAACUACGAUACAAUUCUACAUUGUGAAAACUUCAAUUUACAAAAACGCUAUGAAAGUAAUGAUUUCCCUAUAGACUCUCAUUGUUAUGAAAUAUUUCGUGAAGUCUAUAUAUUUUAGAUCACUCUAGAAAAAAAAAACAAAAAAAAAAAAAAACAAGAAAACCUCCCUAUCUUUUUUAUUUUCUGAUUUUUCUAGGUGUUUUCUUAAGUUUUGAAAAAUCGGAGUUUAAACAAAUUCUACAUUAUAGAAACAUUUUCGACCCAAACGUGCAGAACUACCAUAAUGAUGAUUAAAUUGAAUUUCCUGUUUAUGCAUGCAUUGUUUAUGUUUAGUAAAAUGGAUUGUCUCUGAACAAUAAACGGAUAACAUUUACACAAAUUUCCUGCAUUUAUAUCAGAUCGCUCUGUUUCUGCAAUGGUAGAGGAUGAAUUUUGUGAAUUUAUCAGUUAUUUAGUAUGAGAUGCGUGUUUUUUGGUUUUCUACGCAUGUAUAAUUUUUCAUACUUUCCGUUGGAUGAUAUGAUAUCAUACAUUCACAUUAUUUAAAAGACUGCAACGAUCAGUUUUGACGAGGUGCUUAUAUACGAUAUAGGAUUGAUUAUUUUUCUAGUGAUCAUGCAUGUGUGACCCUUAUUCCCUUUUAAUGAACAACAUUUUAUAAAAUUAUGAUCAUCUGUUGGGAAAUGAUCUGAGAAAAUGAAUGCUCACACUUAAAUGUUUCGUCUAGAAGUAAGAAAGUUAUCGCCGCUUUUCUAAUGCAAUAUAGGUUUAUCGAUGUGUGAGGUCCCGGUUAAACCAGUCAUAUUGCUGUGGAUUAAAGAAGUCUUUACGAUUUCGGAGUGAUAUCUUUAAAGACUUUUACGGUUUUUAUUUUAUUGCGUAAUAAUAAUCUAUAUAACAAAAUUAAUAUUUUAAAUUAAUUAUUUAACUGAUUGUAUUGAUUUUCCAGUAAAUAUUUUGACCUUUAUAUGUUUUCGGUAUAAUAAAUAUAGCAUUCCUGAGAGCGUGAUAUAAACAUGGUCACCCCUCAAAUAUAUAUCUCACCCCCUCAGGAGGAAUGCAAUAUUUAUAUAAUAUCUUUGUAACAGUAUGACUCAUUUAUCAUUAAUCACUUUUUUCGUACACGUGACAGUGAGUAAAUAUAUUUCAUUUAGUUAUAAAUAUCAUUUUCAUUUUAAUGUUAAGAUAAAAUAAUGGAAUUAAUCAAUAACAAACCAUGCGAAUAGAGACUUUACAUGACAAAACGCAUUGUCAUUAUGAAUGUUGGAACAAUGGGGAAACGCAUAAAACUUUUUUCCGUUCUGGGAACUUUAAUUCUUCUGUGUUCACUGUUAAAAUGGUGCAUUAUGCAAAACUGGAUUUGACAAGCGCCUUUAAAGUCUUCCGUUCAUCCGACAGUAACACUGAAAUAAGAAAUCUUAAUGAUAUUGGACGCGUUCUUUUAGAGCAAAGAAACAAUACAUCAAAAUUGCUGAAUAUAAAAUAACAGACAAUUGGACAAUAAGAGUGUCAGAUUUUAAGAAGUUGUCUCAUUGAGAAGUGGCAUCUGUAUUAAAAAGGAUCAUGUCAAGUUAUCUGUUGUUAAAUCGAAGACACACCAGAUAGUGAAAAGAUAGUAACGAUUUUCUGUCGUUAUCCACCGAUUGACAAUGUAAAAAUUCAGAAAGUGAUCUGUAUUUGUGGAUGUGAGACGUUGGUUCCAAAGACAGUUAAAUAUUGCAAAACUAGUGUUCUUCUAUUGCAAUCAGUGUUUUCAAUUUAUCGAUGUUAUAAGUGCUUAGACACUCUAAUAUGCCAUGCUUUGGCAAUCAUUUUUUCUUUUUUGCUUGGAACCACGGUGUGUUUGAGUAUGUAUGAAAAAUGAAAUAAAACUAUGCCUGUUUCACCACUCA